rnacentral:rRNA from 1 species
CGGACGGGUGAGUAAUGUCUGGGAAACUGCCUGAUGGAGGGGGAUAACUACUGGAAACGGUAGCUAAUACCGCAUAACGUCGCAAGACCAAAGAGGGGGACCUUCGGGCCUCUUGCCAUCGGAUGUGCCCAGAUGGGAUUAGCUAGUAGGUGGGGUAACGGCUCACCUAGGCGACGAUCCCUAGCUGGUCUGAGAGGAUAACCAGCCACACUGGAACUGAGACACGGUCCAG